UCAUGCGUGCAUGCUUCAGAUUUUCUUUAUUUCUGAUUUUCUAUGGCUGGUUCUUGGAAUUUGCACAACACAUAUCAAUUUCGCUCGCACGCGAUGAAGAUAACCUUAGACGUUAUUUAUCUGACAAACGGAACGUAGAGGGGACAUAUCGAGCAAAUGAAGUGAUCUUGUGCCAUCUCUGACGUUUGCCAAACUCUCCGAAAACACAGCAAGGUCAAUCUUGGAUUAAUGGUGGAUUUAUUCCGGAGGCAAUGGUUGGUUGAUGCAGUCGAUCUGGUCGAUGAAAGCGAACCAUCCCAGAUGCAGACUCUGGUAUGAUCUUUUCGGUGCUGGGAGAAUGGCCGAGUUUAGGUUGGCCAUACUGCAACAAAAAUUUGCAAAGGGAACUGAUAAAUGCACAGAUAAUUUAUGAAUCCCGAUAUACCGGAUGAAACUUUCCUGCUAUAACACUUUCACUAUCUCUCUACUUCUUGAAGAAUGCUCGAGUUCAAGAAUCAAAAUGCACAUGUGAUGAAUACUUACCUGACUUACUCCUAUUUCUGUUUCGGAUUCACUGAUCAGGCCAUAUAUAUCAAAAAACUCGCCGUUAGGAAAUAAAUCACAAGAAUGAGGGGACAUCCAGGGCUCGAUCCUGCUACAUUCUUUAGUAACAGUGGUGCAGCUUCUGGAUGAUAUUUCUGUACUAGAGGAACUCCCGUUCAUGAUUAGCUCAUAUAAUUGGUUCUGCAUUUCCUGGACCUGAUGCUGUUAUUCAAGAACAUGUACAUCCCAAAUGUAAUUCCACAUUUCUAGAGAUUGAAAGAAAAAAAGUUUUCAACUCUUGCAAAA